AUGCAGGGCCACUUAUACAUGUCUUGUUGUCCUCACAGACUCUCUAGCGGCUCCAGGAAUCCGUGGGAUUCUCGUGGAGGAGGUUUGAGUUGCAUCUUAGAACAUGGAUCUUCUAUGUUCUUCCAGACUCAGGGCAGGCAUGGCCAUGGUGGGAACGACACCUUCUUGAGAUGGGAUGAAGGCAGGAGAUUCUGUCAUAGGAAGCUCAUGAUCAUUUCCGGUCUCAGCUGGUUGAGAGAAACCCAUUCUUCGCCAGCCAAAUCCUCUGCUGAUCAAACACACCUUGCUGUCAACAUGGACGACCAGGCUAAUUUGAGGUAUGGCAUCCACUCCUCUUCUUGAACUUGUGGCCUGAGCUCGAAUGACAGUGGCUGGAAGAGCCACAGCCAUUGUUUUAUGCAGUGAUUGUUGUUCCAAACAUACUAUAUCGGAUUAACCCCCAACUGAAUCCACUUCGAGGCCCCUGAAGAUGAGGCCUUUAAGAGAGAUUAGAUGUAAGCAGAACACAAAGGUGUGAAGACAUUGCCAAGGACAAGUCGCUUUGCCCACAAUUCUGGAUGUCCUUAUUUUGCAAGGUAAGGGUUUGGACUGCAGAAUUCCCGUAAGAGGCCUCCUUCCAGCUCCUGGAAGAUCCUAGAUUUGGAGUAUCCCCGCUGUUGGAGACUGAAUGCUUGUUCCAAGCCCACCUCCUCACCCCUCACCUUCCUACCCCCACCACCCGCUACCCUGUCCCAAUCCACGUGCUGAACCCCUAACUUGCAAUGUGCUGUUAUUUGGAGAUGGAUUCCUGGGGGUAAUAAUUAAAUCUAGAUGAGAUUAUGAGGGUGAAGCCCUCCUGAUGGGGUCAGCCUUGCAGGUUUGGUUUGGUUUGGUUUUGCUUUUUAGGGCCGCACCUGUGGCAUUUGGAAGUUGCCAGGCAACAGGUCAAGUUGGAAAUGCAGCUGCCAGCCAACACCACAGCCACAGCCAUGUGGGAUCCUUAACCCACUGAGUGAGGCCAGGGAUUGAACCCUCGUCCUCACGGAUACUAGUUGGGUUCAUUAACUCUGAGCCACAAGGGAAAGACGCCAGAGUGAGCACGUGCAUGUGCAUGUGUGUGCACGUGCAUGAGAGAGACACACACAGGCAGGUGCACUGCCAUGCACCAUGGCAGCUGUCUUGCCAGCCUGAAAAGGCUUCACCAAGAACCUAAUCUCCUGGCACCUUGAUCUGAGAUACCCAGGCUUAGAACUGUGAAGGAAUGAACUUCUCCUGCCGAAGCCCCAGCCUCACACCCCCAGUCUGUGGUAUUUUUGUUUCAGCAGCUGGUGCUGACUCAUCCAACUGCCCAGGAAUGAAAUGCUCACAGGGAGCCGAACUCAGUGAAGCCUGGCCUUUUCACCAGCUCCGCAUCCCUUCAACACAUACUGAAGUCCUGCGUGCUUAUGAGCUGCUCCACCUGGGCUGCACACUGAGGACUUCAGAGAAAUAAACACAGUCUCUGCCUUCCA
rnacentral:lncRNA from 1 species